rnacentral:rRNA from 1 species
CUUGGUCAUUUAGAGGAAGUAAAAGUCGUAACAAGGUUUCCGUAGGUGAACCUGCGGAAGGAUCAUUAAAGAGUAAGGGUGCUCAGCGCCCGACCUCCAACCCUUUGUUGUUAAAACUACCUUGUUGCUUUGGCGGGACCGCUCGGUCUCGAGCCGCUGGGGAUUCGUCCCAGGCGAGCGCCCGCCAGAGUUAAACCAAACUCUUGUUAUUUAACCGGUCGUCUGAGUUAAAAUUUUGAAUAAAUCAAAACUUUCAACAACGGAUCUCUUGGUUCUCGCAUCGAUGAAGAACGCAGCGAAAUGCGAUAAGUAAUGUGAAUUGCAGAAUUCAGUGAAUCAUCGAAUCUUUGAACGCACAUUGCGCCCCUUGGUAUUCCGAGGGGCAUGCCUGUUCGAGCGUCAUUACACCACUCAAGCCAUGCUUGGUAUUGGGCGUCGUCCUUAGUUGGGCGCGCCUUAAAGACCUCGGCGAGGCCACUCCGGCUUUAGGCGUAGUAGAAUUUAUUCGAACGUCUGUCAAAGGAGAGGAACUCUGCCGACUGAAACCUUUAUUUUUCUAGGUUGACCUCGGAUCAGGUAGGGAUACCCGCUGAACUUAAGCAUAUCAAUAAGCGGAGGA